rnacentral:tRNA from 1 species
GCUGAGGUAGCUCAGCUGGUAGAGCAACUGAUUCGUAAUCAGUAGGUCGGGGGUUCAAGUCCUCUUCUCAGCA